rnacentral:rRNA from 1 species
AACGAACGCUGGCGGCAUGCCUAACACAUGCAAGUCGAACGAAAACUUCGGGUCUAUUGGCGCACGGGUGCGUAACGCGUGGGAACCUGCCCUUAUGUUCGGAAUAACUCCCCGAAAGGGGUGCUAAUACCGGAUAAUGUCUUCGGACCAAAGAUUUAUCGCCUCUGGAUGGGCCCGCGUUGGAUUAGCUAGUUGGUAGGGUAAAAGCUUACCAAGGCGACGAUUCAUAGCUGGUCUGAGAGGAUGAUCAGCCACACUGGGACUGAGACACGGCCCAGACUCUUACGGGAGGCAGGAGUGGCGAAUGUUGCAACAUGGCCGGAAGCCUGAUCCAGCAAUGCCGCGUGAGCGAUGAAGGCCGUAGAGUUGUAAAGCUCUUUUAACCGGGAUGAUAAUGACGGUACCGAGACAAUAAGCUCCGGCUAACUACGUG